rnacentral:tRNA from 1 species
GCCCCCGUAGCUCAAAGGAUAGAGCAAUCGGUUACUACCCGUUUUGUUGUAGGUUCAAAUCCUACCGGGGGCG